GGCUGGUUAGCUCAGUUGGUCAGAGCAUGGUCCUAAUAACACCAAGGUCAUGGGUCCAAUACCCAUACUGGCCA